AGGACGAACGCUGGCGGCGUGCUUAACACAUGCAAGUCGAACGGAAAGGCCCUUCGGGGUACUCGAGUGGCGAACGGGUGAGUAACACGUGGGUGAUCUGCCCUGCACUUCGGGAUAAGCCUGGGAAACUGGGUCUAAUACCGGAUAUGACUACGAAUCGCAUGGUUUGUGGUGGAAAGCUUUUGCGGUGUGGGAUGGGCCCGCGGCCUAUCAGCUUGUUGGUGGGGUGAUGGCCUACCAAGGCGACGACGGGUA
rnacentral:rRNA from 1 species